UGUAAUCAAUUAUUACUUAAUUUACACAUGCAAGUCUCCGCACUCCUGUGAAAACGCCCUUAAAUCCCCGCUAGGGAUAAGGAGCUGGUAUCAGGCACAAUUUUUAGCCCAAAACACCUAGCUAUGCCACACCCACACGGGAAUUCAGCAGUGAUUAACAUUGAAAAUAAGCGACAGCUUGACUCAGUCAAAGUAAAAAGAGCCGGCUAAUCUGGUGCCAGCCGCCGCGGUUACACCACGUGGCUCAAAUUGAUUUCUUUCGGCGUAAAGCGUGAUUAAAGUCAUCAAUAAAUUAUAGCCAAACUAAAACUAAGCUGUGACACGCUUGUAUUUAGGAAAACCAAAACGAAAGUUGCUAUAAUAAACACU
rnacentral:rRNA from 1 species